UUCAAGUAUUUUGCAGUCCAGCGGAUCUGGAAUACAUGAGCUGUGCUGUUAGGGAAAACGCUUAUGUUUUUUAUUCUUUUGUUUUAAGGGAAGGGUUUUAAUGGAGAAAUAGAGGCACGGUGACUGGGAGAAAUAAGGGAACGCCUCCCUAAUGCUGGUUCAGUGAGAGUCAUAUGACAUCUGUUACCCCUUGACUCCACAAUUACCUCCUAUGGGAAAUGUUGUGGGUCAUCUCCAGUCUUGGGCUCCCCCAAUAUCCACCAGCAUCCUCUCUCAGCAGUAAAGUUUCUCGGGGGAUUGAUCUUGGGAAAAUCUGCUGGGAUGUCCACUCCUGGGAAGACUGGCAGCCCUCUUCAUUUUUUUUCAAGAUAACUGCCAAUCAAACACCAGAUUAUUUAUUAUGUUCUGAUAAGUAAAUCAGAACAUAAUAGAACUAACAGAGGGUGUAAUUUCUUUUUACUAUUACUGUAUUUAUCUCUGGACCCCAAACCAAAUUCUUAGUGUUAUAGUGUUUUAAAGCAAUACCCCUAUUUAUGAAUUACACUGUACAUAAACAAAUCCUAUCCUUUGGAGAGAUGAGACUGAUCUCAACCAGUGAUAUGUGAAGAAAAAGAUGAAGGAGGCUCAAUAAUAAUUUUUUGUAUGUUAAGAGAUCAGACUGGACUAACAGCUGAGGAUACCUUGUCUCAGGGCCAAGCUGGAUUUCAGUGCUGUCAACUUUUUAUUUUACUUGUCAGAAUGGAAACGGACAUACAAGGGUUUGUUUGCCCCUCUGACGUCUUUAGCCACAUAGGCUGUGAGAGGAAAUAGACAGAGAGCAGAUUUUAAGGACCCCACACCUCUUAAUGGUAUGCUUCGUAUGAGAGUGUGGGAUUUGGAGGGCCAAGCAACUCUUCCUUGUCUUCUUCCUCCUGAGACAUCAUUUACUCUUAUAAAGAAAAAUGUGGAAGAAAAAGUGAUCGGAGCUGUAGGUGGAUAUAAAAGUCUCAGUUCUCACAGUUCUCCACCUCAGGAAAGAUGAUGUUCAAUACUGGGCUGGCAAACUGGAAAAAAAAAACCUAAAGAAAAUCAUGCGACCUUCUAAAUCAGUGAAACCAGAUGUUUGGUGUUCUGGUUUUCCUUUCAAUCUUCCGGAUGUGACAGUUUAAAAGUAUAAUGUGUAUUUGAUCUGUAGUAAUGUGUAAAAUCUAAUUCGGGAAGAAAUUAGUUCAAUGCAAAAUCAAAACUGAAUCAAAUGAUUACUGCCUAAACAUCGCAGUUCCUUGCCGAGAUGUAGGCCUCUGAAGGAAAACUUCCAUGUGUUUCAGUGCUGAUUUCAAAAGUCUAACCAUUUCUCUAAUGUAUAUGUUCAGCUAAGCCAAAUCCACACAAUGACAUCAGAUUAUACGUCUCAAAACCAUGAAAAUAAAUAUGUCUUUCUGCA